UAUUUUAAGAAUUAUCACAACCAUAUACUAUUAUUAGACAAUUCAUUUUGCAUGGUUUCAUUGGAGACACGUCCUGGUGAUCGGUGUGUGUGUGUUUACAUCGUUUUUGUCAGCCGUUUAAUGUUAUAUAUGGCCGUCGGAUUAGUUAAAUUUAUUUUCGACAUUCGCAUGUGAACUUGUAUGAUAUGUCUUAGAUUAUUGUGUUGCAUAUUUAUUGUAUUAAGUAUAAUUCAAAAUGUCUAUGACACAACUACUUAAGUGUUCCAAAGUUAGAAAUAAUUAAAACGAAGAAAAUAUACUAUAUCUGUAUCUUACUUUUAAUUGUUUUUGUUUAUCUAAUAAAUUUCAAAAAAACAUGGCAUCAGCAUAGUGAAAUUGAAAUCUCUACUACAGUAAAUGAAUGCAAAGCACCAAAAAUAAAAUAAAAAACCAUUAAAGUAGUUCAUCUGAUGACAGUGAUUUUGAAGACUGUAGCUUAUCAGUAACACCGAUCAGCAAACAUGUAUGAACAAAUUUUACUGAAUUAUUGACAGAAAAAUCUGAUGAAGAUUUAGAAUAUGAACUACUAUCUUUAACAUAAUGUACUGUACAAAUUAAAGCUAGUUCCUCAUCAUCAUGCAUGCCUAAUAAUGUUAUAAAUAAGAAUAAACAAGCAAAAUUCAAAUCAACCAAAUAAGAAACAAAAACUGACCUUUGAAAAAUUUCCGGUUGUUUUAUUAAAACAGUUGUCUGACUUCGAAAUUGGUAAAAUCAUUGUAAAUGUGGGAAAUGGCAUACUGCCGACUCUAGAAGAAAUUAGUCAAAAGCCAUUGGUUCAACCCCCAAUAAGUCAAAUGGCUAUUGACUCUAAUUUAAAGGCUAAACAAAUAUUUGACUCUAUGGUUAAUGGUGAAAAUAAAAAAAAACUAGUAAGCAAAAAAAAUAUUGUCAAACGAGCACAAGUCAAAAAAAACAAGUCUAAGCAGAAAGCUCGUGGACCUGCUUCGGUUUCCAAAUUUAAAACCUUACAAAACACAAUAAGGGUUAAGGACCCAAUAACGAUGAUGACAAAAUCUAAGUAUAAACAAUUUCGAAAUAAUUUUUUUGGAAAAAUCAAUUUUGAUAUUGUGGUGUCUGUUGAAAUGAGUGAAGAGCAAUUUAAAUGUUUUAAAAUUCAUAACAUAUUCCCAAAAAAUUCUUUUCACAGUCAACUUCUACGGAACCAAAUAAAAUUAAAAAACUUUAAGAUUUUACCUUUAAACGCUUUUUACGUAACGACACCUGAAAUGCCUGUUCACGAUUUUUUAACCGUUAACGCCUCAUCACAGUAUCAAUAUAUACGUGUAUUGUACAAUGUAAAUACUUUUUAUCCAAAAGUAACAUUCGUUUCAUGGGAAGACGGAAUGUACAGUAAAAUACCAAUUGGGAAAAUCAAUAGAAUCGAUGGGUUUACUUUUUCGUACAAAGAUCAUAUCAUAAAAAUAAACGGCAACUGUGACGUGACGAUUUAUUUAAGGGAAGGAAGAAUCUUUGCAAUGAAAAAAGGGAUUGAAAAAUCGAAAAUGGAUUUUCACUAUUCUCAAAAAUACUUGUCUUAAAAAUUAUUUUACUAGUUAAAUUCAUUAUUUACUCUUUAUAUAUAUAUA